rnacentral:rRNA from 1 species
CUGGGAUAACACCUGGAAACAGAUGCUAAUACCGGAUAACAACACUAGACGCAUGUCUAGAGUUUGAAAGAUGGUUCUGCUAUCACUCUUGGAUGGACCUGCGGUGCAUUAGCUAGUUGGUAAGGUAACGGCUUACCAAGGCAAUGAUGCAUAGCCGAGUUGAGAGACUGAUCGGCCACAUUGGGACUGAGACACGGCCCAAACUCCUACGGGAGGCAGCAGUAGGGAAUCUUCCACAAUGGACGAAAGUCUGAUGGAGCAACGCCGCGUGAGUGAAGAAGGGUUUCGGCUCGUAAAGCUCUGUUGGUAGUGAAGAAAGAUAGAGGUAGUAACUGGCCUUUAUUUGACGGUAAUUACUUAGAAAGUCACGGCUAACUACGUGCCAGCAGCCGCGGUAAUACGUAGGUGGCAAGCGUUGUCCGGAUUUAUUGGGCGUAAAGCGAGUGCAGGCGGUUCAAUAAGUCUGAUGUGAAAGCCUUCGGCUCAACCGGAGAAUUGCAUCAGAAACUGUUGAACUUGAGUGCAGAAGAGGAGAGUGGAACUCCAUGUGUAGCGGUGGAAUGCGUAGAUAUAUGGAAGAACACCAGUGGCGAAGGCGGCUCUCUGGUCUGCAACUGACGCUGAGGCUCGAAAGCAUGGGUAGCGAACAGGAUUAGAUACCCUGGUAGUCCAUGCCGUAAAC